GCAGGCUUGAGUCUUGUAGAGGGGGGUAGAAUUCCAGGUGUAGCGGUGAAAUGCGUAGAGAUCUGGAGGAAUACCGGUGGCGAAGGCGGCCCCCUGGACAAAGACUGACGCUCAGGUGCGAAAGCGUGGGGAGCAAACAGGAUUAGAUACCCUGGUAGUCCACGCCGUAAACGAUGUCUACUUGGAGGUUGUGCCCUUGAGGCGUGGCUUCCGGAGCUAACGCGUUAAGUAGACCGCCUGGGGAGUACGGCCGCAAGGUUAAAACUCAAAUGAAUUGACGGGGGCCCGCACAAGCGGUGGAGCAUGUGGUUUAAUUCGAUGCAACGCGAAGAACCUUACCUGGUCUUGACAUCCACAGAAGAAUCCAGAGAUGGAUUUGUGCCUUCGGGAACUGUGAGACAGGUGCUGCAUGGCUGUCGUCAGCUCGUGUUGUGAAAUGUUGGGUUAAGUCCCGCAACGAGCGCAAC
rnacentral:rRNA from 3 species